GCAAGCGUUGUCCGGAUUUAUUGGGCGUAAAGAGCUCGUAGGCGGUUUGAUAAGUCGGGUGUGAAACCCCCAGGCUCAACCUGGGGACGCCACUUGAUACUGUCAUGACUAGAGUCUGGUAGGGGAUCACGGAACUCCUGGUGUAGCGGUGGAAUGCGCAGAUAUCAGGAAGAACACCAGUAGCGAAGGCGGUGAUCUGGGCCAGUACUGACGCUGAGGAGCGAAAGCGUGGGGAGCGAACAGGAUUAGAUACCCUGGUAGUCCACGCCGUAAACGGUGGGCACUAGGUGUGGGGACUAUUCAACGGUUUCCGCGCCGACGCUAACGCAUUAAGUGCCCCGCCUGGGGAGUACGGCCGCAAGGCUAAAACUCAAAGGAAUUGACGGGGGCCCGCACAAGCGGCGGAGCAUGUGGCUUAAUUCGAGGCAACGCGAAGAACCUUACCUAGGUUUGACAUGUAUUGAAAAGCUACAGAGAUGUAGUGUCCUUCGGGGCUUUACACAGGUGGUGCAUGGCUGCCGUCAGCUCGUGUCGUGAGAUGUUGGGUUAAGUCCCGCAACGAGCGCAACCCUUGUCCUAUGUUGCCAGCACGUUAUGGUGGGGACUCGUGGGAGACUGCCGGGGUCAACUCGGAGGAAGGUGGGGACGACGUCAAGUCAUCAUGCCCCUUACGCCUAGGGCUGCACACAUGCUACAAUGGCCGGUACAACGGGCUGCUAAUUCGCGAGAAGGAGCUAAUCCCCAAAGCCGGCCUCAGUUCGGAUCGCAGUCUGCAACUCGACUGCGUGAAGUCGGAGUCGCUAGUAAUCCCGGAUCAGCAACGCCGGGGUGAAUACGUUC
rnacentral:rRNA from 1 species